AUGUAAACAGGAAGAUCAUGUCAGUUGUGUCACAAAAGCAAACGACGUGAUAUUAGAAGAAAGAUUUCAUUCUUUAGUUAAUAGUUUACUGAUUAAUAAUAAUCUCGUACAAUAGGAAUACGCAUUGAAUUUGUUGUCCAAAAAUAAGUAUGUCGGAGGCAAACGGGAUGACAGAUGCCCAAUUGAUACAGCAGUUGGCGCUGCUGGGUUGGCUGAAGACGGACAGUGUUCAGUGUAAGCAGCUGCUCACUGCGGUCACUGGGAUGCAGGUGGCCCGUGAGCUUCUGGACAGACUCUCUGGGCAAAGCCAAAUAGAUGCUUACAGGAGGGAAUGUAUCCAGAGCAUUGCUGACU